rnacentral:rRNA from 1 species
UGGGGAAUUUUUGCGCAAUGGGGGAAACCCUGACGCAGCAACGCCGCGUGGAGGAUGAAGUAUCUUGGUACGUAAACUCCUUUCGAUUGGGAAGAUAAUGACGGUACCAAUAGAAGAAGCCCCGGCUAACUUCGUGCCAGCAGCCGCGGUAAUACGAGGGGGGCAAGCGUUGUUCGGAUUUAUUGGGCGUAAAGGGUGCGUAGGCGGUUUGGCAAGUCUUAUGUGAAAUCUUCGGGCUCAACCCGAAGCCUGCAUAAGAAACUGCCGGGCUUGAGUAUGGGAGAGGUGAGUGGAAUUUUCCGGUGUAGCGGUGAAAUGCGUAGAUAUCGGAAGGAACACCUGUGGCGAAAGCGGCUCACUGGACCAUAACUGACGCUGAGGCACGAAAGCUAGGGGAGCAAACAGGAUUAGAUACCCCCAGUAGU